GGGUAAUGUACCCAAUCGCUGGGGAUAACUAGACGAAAGUUUAGCUAAUACCGAAUGGUCCUGUCUUUUCUCCGGAUUAGAUAGGUAAAAGCCGUAAGGCGCGAUUGGAGCAGCCCUCGUCCCAUUAGCUAGUUGGUAGGGUAACGGCCUACCAAGGCUACGAUGGGUAGCUGGUCUAAGAGGAUGAUCAGCCACACUGGUACUGGAACACGGACCAGACUCCUACGGGAGGCAGCAGUUAGGAAUUUUGCGCAAUGGGCGAAAGCCUGACGCAGCAACGCCGCGUGAGGGAUGAAGGCCUUCGGGUUGUAAACCUCUUUUAGCAGGGAAGAACACAAUGACGGUACCUGCAGAAAAAGCACCGGCUAACUCUGUGCCAGCAGCCGCGGUAAUACAGAGGGUGCAAGCGUUAUUCGGAAUUACUGGGCGUAAAGAGCGCGUAGGCUGUUUGAUAAGUUUGAUGUGAAAGCCCUGGACUCAAUUCAGGAAGUGCAUCGAAUACUGUCAGACUAGAGUAUAGGAGAG
rnacentral:rRNA from 1 species